AUAUAGAAUGUUGCUUGCAACUGUUGGGCCAAAGCAGUUUUGCCACUAUGUGAGGUUUGGUGUGCCUCUGAUACUAAAGGCCAGGCAAGCGAAACUGGUACCACUAAGCGAUUGUCUGGAAGAGUAUACCAUCCCCUCACCAAGUUGGCUUUCAAAUCUCCUUCAGCUUUCUCCUUCUCUACCUGAGUAUAGGAUUGUUUGCAACGCAUGGGAUGUAUAGACUGCUACUUCUGAGGUAAAAGUCAGUUUGUUUGUGUCUCUCAUAAGUUCUGCCACAGCGGCCAAAAUUUUAAGACAGUGUGGCCAGCCUUGAGCCGGGCUGUCCAAUUGUUUGGAUAAGUAAGCCACUGGCCGUUGCCAUGAUCCUUGCUGUUGAGUUAAUACCCCUAUUGCCACAUUCUGACGGACAUCCACAUAAAGACGAAAGGAUUUGGAAAGGUCUGGCAACCCUAAAGCUGGAGAGGAUGGCUCACGGCGUCUUCUCAGCGAAAGAUUCUUUUAGACUUCAAUGGAGUCUUUGUGGCCGGCCUGUGAACGUUUCCCUGGAAAGGCGUCGAAUCCUGCCGGGAGCAGCCGUCAGGCAGAACAAGUGUCUUUGUUCCUCAGUCCCUUCGUGGUAACGCCAGAAAAUGUUGUAGAAAUAAAGAACUGAAGCACA